rnacentral:tRNA from 1 species
UGGGGACCAGCUCAGUGGGUAGAGUGCUUGCCUCGUGCACAAGGCCCGGGGUUCGAUCCCCAGCACAA